rnacentral:rRNA from 1 species
AGUGAACGCUGGCGGCAGGCCUAACACAUGCAAGUCGAGCGGCAGCGCGGGGGCAACCCUGGCGGCGAGCGGCGGACGGGUGAGGAAUUCGUCGGAAUCUGCCUUUUUGUGGGGGAUAACGUAGGGAAACUUACGCUAAUACCGCAUACGUCCUACGGGAGAAAGUGGGGGACCGCAAGGCCUCACGCAGAAAGAUGAGCCGACGACCGAUUAGCUAGUUGGUGGGGUAAAGGCCCACCAAGGCGACGAUCGGUAGCUGGUCUGAGAGGAUGAUCAGCCACACUGGGACUGAGACACGGCCCAGACUCCUACGGGAGGCAGCAGUGGGGAAUAUUGGACAAUGGGCGCAAGCCUGAUCCAGCCAUGCCGCGUGUGUGAAGAAGGCCUUCGGGUUGUAAAGCACUUUUGUCCGGAAAGAAAUCCCUGGAGCUAAUACCUUCGGGGGAUGACGGUACCGGAAGAAUAAGCACCGGCUAACCUCGUG